rnacentral:rRNA from 1 species
UUGAACGCUGGCGGCAUGAUUUACACCUGCCAGUCGCACGGUAACAGGCCGCAAGGUGCUGACGAGUGGCGAACGGGUGAGUAAUGCAUCGGAACGUGCCCAGUCGUGGGGGAUAACUACUCGAAAGAGUAGCUAAUACCGCAUACGAUCUAUGGAUGAAAGCGGGGGACCGUAAGGCCUCGCGCGAUUGGAGCGGCCGAUGUCAGAUUAGGUAGUUGGUGGGGUAAAGGCUCACCAAGCCAACGAUCUGUAGCUGGUCUGAGAGGACGACCAGCCACACUGGGACUGAGACACGGCCCAGACUCCUACGGGAGGCAGCAGUGGGGAAUUUUGGACAAUGGGCGCAAGCCUGAUCCAGCAAUGCCGCGUGCAGGAAGAAGGCCUUCGGGUUGUAAACUGCUUUUGUACGGAACGAAACGGCUCUGGUUAAUACCCGGGGCUAAUGACGGUACCGUAAGAAUAAGCACCGGCUAACUACGUG